rnacentral:misc_RNA from 1 species
UUUCCGUAGGUGAACCUGCGGAAGGAUCAUUAAAAAUGAAGCCGGGAAACCGGUCCUUCUAACCCUUGAUUAUCUUAAUUUGUUGCUUUGGUGGGCCGCGCAAGCACCGGCUUCGGCUGGAUCGUGCCCGCCAGAGGACACAACUCUGUAUCAAAUGUCGUCUGAGUACUAUAAAAUAGUUAAAACUUUCAACAACGGAUCUCUUGGUUCU